AGGGGAUUGUGGUAAUACGAAGGCUUCUAACCUUUUGUAUGAGCUGUUCGAUUCGGUUCAUCCUCUG
rnacentral:tRNA from 1 species